CAAGUUAUAAUCAUAGGAUUAAUUCUUAUUUACAUUAAGAAUUUAUUUGUGCAAUUCAAAUUAUCUUGA
rnacentral:tRNA from 1 species